rnacentral:tmRNA from 1 species
AGAUAAACGCAGAAGACAAUUUUGCAUUAGCAGCUUAAUAUAGCCGCUCGUCCUACCUUUGAGUCCCACGGCUUAGGAUAGGGCGCCGAUUAGUGGGGAACCGAGCCAUGGAAAGCUUUGACCAUGGAACGGAAUUUAUGAAGCUACUGAAGUAGAAACCCGGUCUCUAGGGGUUCUAUGGAGGGAAUGUUAAAAUAGAGACUGCACUCGGAGAUGCUUAUGUGGAAUGGCUUUCGGACAGGGGUUCGAUUCA